rnacentral:rRNA from 1 species
ACGAACGCUGGCGGCAUGCCUCACACAUGCCAGUCGAACGCGACCUUCGGGUCUAGUGGCGCACGGGUGCGUAACGCGUGGGAACCUGCCCUUAGGUUCGGAAUAACUCCCCGAAAGGGGUGCUAAUACCGGAUAAUGUCUUCGGACCAAAGAUUUAUCGCCUUUGGAUGGGCCCGCGUUGGAUUAGCUAGUUGGUAGGGUAAAAGCCUACCAAGGCGACGAUCCAUAGCUGGUCUGAGAGGAUGAUCAGCCACACUGGGACUGAGACACGGCCCAGACUCCUACGGGAGGCAGCAGUGGGGAAUAUUGGACAAUGGGCGAAAGCCUGAUCCAGCAAUGCCGCGUGAGUGAUGAAGGCCUUAGGGUUGUAAAGCUCUUUUACCCGGGAUGAUAAUGACAGUACCGGGAGAAUAAGCUCCGGCUAACUCCGUG